UCAUCUUCUCUCAAACCUCUCCAUGGGAUAGAUCAGGAAGAGGAGGGUAAAGUCCAGUUCCAGACCAGAUUCCAGUGGGCAGACUCUGGAAGAAAGUAAAGAUGAGGAAGAGGACAUCAGCUAGGGCUGGGCUCAGUCUGAAUUGAGUAUUCCAUCUGGACCUCACAAUGGGGGGCCUGUCCCCACUUCUGACACUCCAUGCUGUAACCCUGUCACUCUGGCCGGAGGUCUGAGGUUUUCCUCUGCACAGCUGCCAACAGGCAGCGCCCUGGUCUCCCCAUCAGAAUGAGGCUCUGCCAGAAGACAGGCUCAGGAAGACAUCCCAGAAGAAAAGAGUCACAGCAUCUCUACUGUGUGUUCCAGAGCCCAAGCAGAGAAAAUAAAAAGCUGUGGGUUCCUUCCAGACUAGUAUGGUUUGAUGAAGCAAGACCUCCGGAAGCAGUGGCCCAAGUGAUUCAACAUUUAAAGGGCUAAGAUGAUACAUCCUUACAGACCCCGAAAAUAAGGACUUAUACAGGUUUCUGAGUUUUGUCAUGAUCCCCAUGGUAUGAACAGCAUCUUUUAACAGCAGAAAGUAGUUUGGAAAGAACAACGCCCACAUUCCCAAAUAAAUGUUUGUUUGCAUUUAUACAGGGUUGGUUAUUGCUAAGGUCAAUUUUGUGUGUCAUCUCUAGAAACUUUUUACAAGGAGAGGGUAUGGCGGUAGCCCCUGAGAAAAAUAGCAAAAGCCGACAACAAUGCCUGAGAGCUAAAGAAAUCUGUACGGAACUUUCUAUAGAGAAGCAAACAGUUCAAAAAUUUUUUCAAAAAAUAAAAAGGGGGAGAUGUUGGGGCCUAGCCCCCACAGGGUCUCUGAGUUGUUUGUCAGCUGAUAGCCACAGGUGCAUCAUGUUUUCUAGU